UACGUAGGUGACAAGCGUUGUCCGGAUUUACUGGGCGUAAAGAGCGCGCAGGCGGUCGAUCAAGUCGAGUGUGAAAGCCCCCGGCUCAACUGGGGAGGGUCAUUCGAUACUGAUUGACUCGAAGGCAGGAGAGGGUAGUGGAAUUCCCGGUGUAGUGGUGAAAUGCGUAGAUAUCGGGAGGAACACCAGUGGCGAAGGCGACUACCUGGCCUGUUCUUGACGCUGAGGCGCGAAAGCGUGGGGAGCGAACAGG
rnacentral:rRNA from 1 species